rnacentral:rRNA from 1 species
CACGCAGUAAACGAUGAUUACUAGCUGUUUGCGAUACAAUGUAAGCGGCUGAGCGAAAGCGUUAAGUAAUCCACCUGGGGAGUACGUUCGCAAGAAUGAAACUCAAAGGAAUUGACGGGGGCCCGCACAAGCGGAGGAACAUGUGGUUUAAUUCGAUGAUACGCGAGGAACCUUACCCGGGCUUGAAAUGCAUCUGACCGGCCUUGAAAGAGGCUUUCCCUUCGGGGCAGAUGUGUAGGUGC